UACGGAGGGUGCAAGCGUUAUCCGGAUUCACUGGGUUUAAAAGGUGCGUAGGUGGCUUGGUAAGUCAGUGGUGAAAGCCCGGAGCUCAACUCCGGAACUGCCAUUGAUACUGCUUAGCUUGAAUCAGGUCGAGGUGGAUGGAAUAUUACAUGUAGCGGUGAAAUGCUUAGAUAUGUAAUAGAACACCGAUUGCGAAGGCAGUUCACUAGGCCUGUAUUGACACUGAGGCACGAAAGCGUGGGGAUCAAACAGG
rnacentral:rRNA from 1 species